ACCAAUUCAUUUGCUGUGACCUCAGCUGCUCAGGUACCACCACCCAUUCCCGAAUGGUUCUCCAUUCCUCGUUUACAUCUAUAAGAAUGCCCCUCUCCCUCCAUUGAAUGCAAGGAAUUGCACACUGUAUCAAGAAGCCAAAUCAACCCUUUGCAGCCUCCUAACCAAAUAGCAUUAUCAUUGCAUCAGUGCAUAGCUGAAGAUGUUUCCAUCCAUUCAAAGGAAGGAGGAUUAUCUGAGCAUUGGGCUUACCUUGUUUAGCAGAUGUGCUGGAACGAUGGAGAAGUCUCAAUGGAUUCGAAUGAUGAGCUUGGGGACCAGAGAUCCUCUUUAUACCCAUCUUCUGGCCACUCCUAUGGGAAGUGAGGCAACCCAGGAAUGAUUUGAAGAUAAAGAGGUGUGGAAGAAACGGACCGAAUAUGAGAUGCAUACAUUAGAUCACCUGUUUAGAUAGAGAAUUAUUGCCUUUUCCUAUUUUGCGGCUUAAAUAUAAAUGACAGGUCUCAUCAUCAACUUGGCUCAUUGCACGGUUGAAUGUGCUAAACAACUUCCGUCUCUCAGCAAUGUGUCUGGUGAAGGCAGCAGGUGGAGGACAACCCACACUGGAACUUGAAUUAUGACCUACAUACGUGCAUUGCCCACACAUAGCUACAUAGAAUGAAGACACAAAACAACAGUGCAUGAUUUAAAUAUGGGCCACAAAUUCAUAAGCCUGAUAUGCAGCAUUCUUGACUAGUUCAAAGCAAAAUUCCCAAACUUAAGGCAGGUAUGAAUGCACCCAAGGAGGAAAAGUCAAUCAAAAGAGUCACAGGGGCUGGAGGAACUUUCCUCCAAGGAUCAAAGAAAGUUGCUUUAUAGAGUCAGAUCAAUGGUCCAUCUAGCUCAGUACAGUGGUACCUUGGGUUACAGAUGCUUCAGGUUACAGACGCUU